UUUGAGUUUUGANUUCCCCCGCUCAGGACGAACGCUGGCGGCGUGCCUAAUACAUGCAAGUCGAGCGGACAGAAGGGAGCUUGCUCCCGGAUGUUAGCGGCGGACGGGUGAGUAACACGUGGGUAACCUGCCUGUAAGACUGGGAUAACUCCGGGAAACCGGAGCUAAUACCGGAUAGUUCCUUGAACCGCAUGGUUCAAGGAUGAAAGACGGUUUCGGCUGUCACUUACAGAUGGACCCGCGGCGCAUUAGCUAGUUGGUGAGGUAACGGCUCACCAAGGCGACGAUGCGUAGCCGACCUGAGAGUGUGAUCGGCCACACUGGGACUGAGACACGGCCCAGACUCCUACGGGAGGCAGCAGUAGGGAAUCUUCCGCAAUGGACGAAAGUCUGACGGAGCAACGCCGCGUGAGUGAUGAGGUUUUCGGAUCGUAAAGCUCUGUUGUUAGGGAAGAACAAGUGCAAGAGUAACUGCUUGCACCUUGACGGUACCUAACCAGAAAGCCACGGCUAACUACGUGCCAGCAGCCGCGGUAAUACGUAGGUGGCAAGCGUUGUCCGGAAUUAUUGGGCGUAAAGGGCUCGCAGGCGGUUUCUUAAGUCUGAUGUGAAAGCCCCCGGCUCAACCGGGGAGGGUCAUUGGAAACUGGGAAACUUGAGUGCAGAAGAGGAGAGUGGAAUUCCACGUGUAGCGGUGAAAUGCGUAGAGAUGUGGAGGAACACCAGUGGCGAAGGCGACACUCUGGUCUGUAACUGACGCUGAGGAGCGAAAGCGUGGGGAGCGAACAGGAUUAGAUACCCUGGUAGUCCACGCCGUAAACGAUGAGUGCUAAGUGUUAGGGGGUUUCCGCCCCUUAGUGCUGCAGCUAACGCAUUAAGCACUCCGCCUGGGGAGUACGGUCGCAAGACUGAAACUCAAAGGAAUUGACGGGGGCCCGCACAAGCGGUGGAGCAUGUGGUUUAAUUCGAAGCAACGCGAAGAACCUUACCAGGUCUUGACAUCCUCUGACAACCCUAGAGAUAGGGCUUUCCCUUCGGGGACAGAGUGACAGGUGGUGCAUGGUUGUCGUCAGCUCGUGUCGUGAGAUGUUGGGUUAAGUCCCGCAACGAGCGCAACCCUUGAUCUUAGUUGGCAGCAUUCAGUUGGGCACUCUAAGGUGACUGCCGGUGACAAACCGGAGGAAGGUGGGGAUGACGUCAAAUCAUCAUGCCCCUUAUGACCUGGGCUACACACGUGCUACAAUGGACAGAACAAAGGGCUGCGAGACCGCAAGGUUUAGCCAAUCCCACAAAUCUGUUCUCAGUUCGGAUCGCAGUCUGCAACUCGACUGCGUGAAGCUGGAAUCGCUAGUAAUCGCGGAUCAGCAUGCCGCGGUGAAUACGUUCCCGGGCCUUGUACACACCGCCCGUCACACCACGAGAGUUUGCAACACCCGAAGUCGGUGAGGUAACCUUUAUGGAGCCAGCCGCCGAAGGUGGGGCAGAUGAUUGGGGUGAAGUUAAAA
rnacentral:rRNA from 1 species